UACAGAGGGUGCAAGCGUUGUUCGGAAUUAUUGGGCGUAAAGGGCGCGUAGGCGGUGCGGUAAGUCUGUAGUGAAAUCUCCGUGCUCAACACGGAGCGGCCACCUGAUACUGCUGUGACUCGAGUCCGGUAGGGGAGUGUGGAAUUCCCGGUGUAGCGGUGAAAUGCGCAGAUAUCGGGAGGAACACCAGUAGCGAAGGCGGCACUCUGGGCCGUGACUGACGCUGAGGAGCGAAAGCGUGGGUAGCAAAC
rnacentral:rRNA from 1 species